AGGUAGAAACGGUCAGAAAGAGAGAAGAAGGAAGAGAGAACUGCAAACUCAGUGGGAACUGGAGUGAAAUAUAUAGAGGGACGGCGAGAGAGAAGAAGGAAGAAAGAACUGCAUACGCAGUGGGAACUGGAGAGAAAUAUAUAGAGGGACAGCGAGAGAGAAGAAGGAAGAGAGAACUGCAUACGCAGUGGGAACUGGAGAGAAAUAUAUAGAGGGACAGCGAGAGAGAAGAAGGAAGAGAGAACUGCAUACGCAGUGGGAACUGGAGAGAAAUAUAUAGAGGGACAGCGAGAGAGAAGAAGGAAGAGAGAACUGCAUACGCAGUGGGAACUGGAGAGAAAUAUAUAGAGGGACAGCGAGAGAGAAGAAGGAAGAGAGAACUGCAUACUCAGUGGGAACUGGAGAGAAAUAUAUAGAGGGACAGCGAGAGAGAAGAAGGAAGAGAGAACUGCAUACUCAGUGGGAACUGGAGAGAAAUAUAUAGAGGGACAGCGAGAGAGAAGAAGGAAGAGAGAACUGCAUACGCAGUGGGAACUGGAGAGAAAUAUAUAGAGGGACAGCGAGAGAGAAGAAGGAAGAGAGAACUGCAUACGCAGUGGGAACUGGAGAGAAAUAUAUAGAGGGACAGCGAGAGAGAAGAAGGAAGAGAGAACUGCAUACGCAGUGGGAACUGGAGAGAAAUAUAUAGAGGGACAGCGAGAGAGAAGAAGGAAGAGAGAACUGCAUACGCAGUGGGAACUGGAGAGAAAUAUAUAGAGGGACAGCGAGAGAGAAGAAGGAAGAGAACUGCAUACACAGUGGGAACUGGAGAGAAAUAUAUAGAGGGACAGCGAGAGAGAAGAAGGAAGAGAGAACUGCAUACGCAGUGGGAACUGGAGAGAAAUAUAUAGAGGGAGAGCGAGAGAGAAGAAGGAAGAGAGAACUGCAUACGCAGUGGGAACUGGAGAGAAAUAUAUAGAGGGACAGCGAGAGAGAAGAAGGAAGAGAGAACUGCAUACGCAGUGGGAACUGGAGAGAAAUAUAUAGAGGGAGAGCGAGAGAGAAGAAGGAAGAGAGAACUGCAUACGCAGUGGGAACUGGAGAGAAAUAUAUAGAGGGACAGCGAGAGAGAAGAAGGAAGAGAGAACUGCAUACGCAGUGGGAACUGGAGAGAAAUAUAUAGAGGGACAGCGAGAGAGAAGAAGGAAGAGAGAACUGCAUACGCAGUGGGAACUGGAGAGAAAUAUAUAGAGGGAGAGCGAGAGAGAAGAAGGAAGAGAGAACUGCAUACGCAGUGGGAACUGGAGAGAAAUAUAUAGAGGGACAGCGAGAGAGAAGAAGGAAGAGAGAACUGCAUACGCAGUGGGAACUGGAGAGAAAUAUAUAGAGGGACAGAAAGAGAGAAGAAGGAAGAGAGAACUGCAUACGCAGUGGGAACUGGAGAGAAAUAUAUAGAGGGACAGCGAGAGAGAAGAAGGAAGAGAGAACUGCAUACGCAGUGGGAACUGGAGAGAAAUAUAUAGAGGGACAGCGAGAGAGAAGAAGGAAGAGAGAACUGCAUACGCAGUGGGAACUGGAGAGAAAUAUAUAGAGGGACAGCGAGAGAGAAGAAGGAAGAGAGAACUGCAUACGCAGUGGGAACUGGAGAGAAAUAUAUAGAGGGACAGCGAGAGAGAAGAAGGAAGAGAGAACUGCAUACUCAGUGGGAACUGGAGAGAAAUAUAUAGAGGGACAGAGAGAGAGAAGAAGGAAGAGAGAACUGCAUACGCAGUGGGAACUGGAGAGAAAUAUAUAGAGGGACAGCGAGAGAUGGAUAAACGAGGAAGAGUUGGUCUUGUUCUCUCAUCAUUAAAACUAGAACGGUAUCGUGAGCACAGACAGUGAUUCGGCUAAAGUUUCUCCCUCCCUCCUUUUAUCUGCUCAAAUGAGCCGGCCUGUCAACCUAGCUCUCCCAUUGGUCAGAGAAGGCAUCCCUUUGUGACAGGAUCCUAAAUGAGGGAAGGUCCUUGUUAAGGUCCAGUGAUUAACCAGUGGUCAGUUCCACCAGUUCACAGUACGUAUCUGUUUGAGUCGUUAUGGUCGUAAAGCAACAUGUUUUGGCAUGAGAGUCUUACUGGUGUGGCAUAGUCAAGGCUUCUGUUCUGAAACAUGUUUAUUUUAUUAUAAAGUCCUUCAACAGUGUCUGAAUAUAGUUAUUGUAUAACCACGGUUUGCAUUCCCCUUCAUAGGACUGGGAGGUGGGGACAGUGAACUAUUUUCAUUCCCCUUCAUAGGACUGGGAGGUGGGGACAGUGAACUAUUCUCAUUCCCCUUCAGAGGACUGGGAGGUGGGGACAGUGAACUAUUCUCAUUCCCCUUCAUAGGACUGGGAGGUGGGGACAGUGAACUAUUCUCAUUCCCCUUCAUAGGACUGGGAGGUGGGGACAGUGAACUAUUUUCAUUCCCCUUCAGAGGACUGGGAGGUGGGGACAGUGAACUAUUUUCAUUCCCCUUCAUAGGACUGGGAGGUGGGGACAGUGAACUAUUUUCAUUCCCCUUCAUAGGACUGGGAGGUGGGGACAGUGAACUAUUUUCAUUCCCCUUCAUAGGACUGGGAGGUGGGGACAGUGAACUAUUUUCAUUCCCCUUCAUAGGACUGGGAGGUGGGGACAGUGAACUAUUUUCAUUCCCCUUCAUAGGACUGGGAGGUGGGGACAGUGAACUAUUUUCAUUCCCCUUCAUAGGACUGGGAGGUGGGGACAGUGAACUAUUUUCAUUCCCCUUCAUAGGACUGGGAGGUGGGGACAGUGAACUAUUUUCAUUCCCCUUCAUAGGACUGGGAGGUGGGGACAGUGAACUAUUUUCAUUCCCUUUCAUAGGACUGGGAGGUGGGGACAGUGAACUAUUUUCCUUCCCCUUCAUAGGACUGGGAGGUGGGGACAGUGAACUAUUUUCAUUCCCCUUCAUAGGACUGGGAGGUGGGGACUGAACUAUUUUCAUUCCCCUUCAGAGGACUGGGAGGUGGGGACUGAACUAUUUUCAUUCCCCUUCAGAGGACUGGGAGGUGGGGACAGUGAACUAUUUUCCUUCCCCUUCAUAGGACUGGGAGGUGGGGACAGUGAACUAUUCUCAUUCCCCUUCAUAGGACUGGGAGGUGGGGACAGUGAACUAUUUUCCUUCCCCUUCAUAGGACUGGGAGGUGGGGACAGUGAACUAUUCUCAUUCCCCUUCAUAGGACUGGGAGGUGGGGACAGUGAACUAUUUUCCUUCCCCUUCAUAGGACUGGGAGGUGGGGACAGUGAACUAUUUUC